GUGCGUACAAAUACAUACGCACGGAUGAAAGAGCUUUCGACCGCCACCUAACCGAGAGCACGGGCUAGAAGAAAAAGUGAAAGAAAAAUCGGGCUCCUGCUGAACCCAGCAGGCCCCCCCAUCGAUAGACAGGUCUCGCCCCAAUGAUGGAGUUCGAAACCAACGCAUCGUAGGUAUGACUCCUACAUCCCUCUCUGCUCCUCAUGCGCAGAUUCUACGAUG
rnacentral:lncRNA from 1 species